UACGUAGGGGGCAAGCGUUGUCCGGAUUUAUUGGGCGUAAAGAGCGUGUAGGCGGUUUGGUAGGUCUGCUGUGAAAACUCGAGGCUCAACCUCGAGACGCCGGUGGAAACCAUCAGACUAGAGUCCGGAAGAGGAGAGUGGAAUUCCUGGUGUAGCGGUGAAAUGCGCAGAUAUCAGGAAGAACACCCGUGGCUAAGGCGGCUCUCUAGUACGGUACUGACGCUGAGACGCGAAAGCGUGGGGAGCGAACAGG
rnacentral:rRNA from 1 species